ensembl:lncRNA
AGAAUGUCGGUGUGUGAUGGUGAAUGUCGGUGUGUGAUGGAGAAUGUCGGUGUGUGAUGGUGAAUGUCGGUGUGUGAUGGUGAAUGUUGGUGUGUGAUGGUGAAUGUCGGUGUGUGAUGGAGAAUGUCGGUGUGUGAUGGUGAAUGUUGGUGUGUGUGAUGGUGAAUGUCGGUGUGUGAUGGUGAAUGUUGGUGUGUGAUGGAGAAUGUCGGUGUGUGAUGGUGAAUGUCGGUGUGUGAUGGUGAAUGUUGGUGUGUGAUGGUGAAUGUUGGUGUUUCAUGGAGAAUGUCGGUGUGUGAUGGUGAAUGUCGGUGUGUGAUGGUGAAUGUCGGUGUGUGAUGGUGAAUGUCGGUGUGUGAUGGUGAAUGUCGGUGUGUGAUGGAGAAUGUUGGUGUGUGAUGGUGAAUGUUGGUGUGUGAUGGAGAAUGUUGGUGUGUGAUGGUGAAUGUCGGUGUGUGAUGGUGAAUGUCGGUGUGUGAUGGAGAAUGUCGGUGUUUGAUGGAGAAUGUCGGUGUGUGAUGGUGAAUGUUGGUGUGUGAUGGUGAAUGUUGGUGUGUGAUGGAGAAUGUUGGUGUGUGUGAUGGUGAAUGUCGGUGUGUGUGAUGGAGAAUGUUGGUGUGUGAUGGUGAAUGUUGGUGUGUGAUGGAGAAUGUUGGUGUGUGAUGGUGAAUGUUGGUGUGUGAUGGAGAAUGUUGGUGUGUGAUGGUGAAUGUCGGUGUGUGAUGGAGAAUGUUGGUGUUUGAUGGAGAAUGUUGGUGUGUGAUGGUGAAUGUUGGUGUGUGAUGGUGAAUGUUGGUGUGUGAUGGAGAAUGUUGGUGUUUGAUGGUGAAUGUUGGUGUUUGAUGGUGAAUGUUGGUGUUUGAUGGUGAAUGUUGAUGUUUGAUGGUGAAUAUUGGUGUGUGAUUGUGAAUGUUAGUGUAUGGUGGAGAAUGGUUGUGUGUGUCUUUGAAUGUUGGUGUGUAAGGGUAAAUGUUUUUGUGUGAUGGAAAAUGUCGGUGUUUGAUGGAGAAUGUCGGUGUGUGAUGGUGAAUGUCGGUGUGUGAUGGAGAAUGUUGGUGUGUGAUGGAGAAUGUUGGUGUUUGAUGGAGAAUGUUGGUGUGUGAUUGAGAAUGUUGGUGUGUGAUUGAGAAUGUUGGUGUGUGAUGGCGAAUGUUGGUGUGUGAUUGAGAAUGUUGGUGUGUGAUGGUGAAUGUUGGUGUGUGAUGGUGAAUGUUGGUGUGUGUGAUGGAGAAUGUUGGUGUUUGAUGGAGAAUGUUGGUGUGUGAUUGAGAAUGUUGGUGUGUGAUUGAGAAUGUUGGUGUGUGGUGGAGAAUGUUGGUGUUUGGUGGAGAUUUUUGGUGUGUGAUUGAGAAUGUUGGUGUGUGAUUGAGAAUGUUGGUGUGUGAUGGCGAAUGUUGGUGUGUGAUUGAGAAUGUUGGUGUGUGAUGGAGAAUGUUGGUGUUUGGUGGAGAUUUUUGGUGUGUGAUGGAGAAUGUUGGUGUUUCAUGGAGAAUGUUGGUGUUUGAUGGUGAAUGUUGGUGUGUGAUGGUGAAUGUUGGUGUGUGUGAUGGUGAAUGUUGGUGUGUGUGAUGGUGAAUGUCGGUGUGUGUGAUGGUGAAUGUUGGUCUGUGAUGGUGAAUGUUGGUGUGUGAUGGUGAAUGUCGGUGUGUGAUGGAGAAUGUUGGUGUGUGAUGGAGAAUGUUGGUCUGUGAUGGUGAAUGUUGGUGUGUGAUGGUGAAUGUUGGUGUGUGUGAUGGUGAAUGUUGGUGUUUGAUGGAGAAUGUUGGGGUUUGAUGGAAAAUGUUGGUGGGUGUGAUGGUGAAUGUGUGUGUGUGAUGGUGAAUGUUGGUCUGUGAUGGUGAAUGUUGGUGUGUGAUGGAGAAUGUUGGUGUGUGAUGGUGAAUGUCGGUGUGUGAUGGAGAAUGUUGGUGUUUGAUGGAGAAUGUUGGUGUGUGAUGGUGAAUGUUGGUGUGUGUGAUGGAGAAUGUUGGUGUUUGAUGGUGAAUGUUGGUGUGUGAUGGUGAAUGUUGGUGUGUGUGAUGGAGAAUGUUGGUGUGUGUGAUGGAGAAUGUUGGUGUGUGUGAUGGAGAAUGUUGGUGUGUGUGAUGGUGAAUGUUGGUGUGUGUGAUGGUGAAUGUUGGUGUGUGAUGGUGAAUGUUGGUCUGUGAUGGUGAAUGUUGGUCUGUGAUGGUGAAUGUUGGUGUGUGAUGGUGAAUGUCGGUGUGUGAUGGAGAAUGUCGGUGUGUGAUGGAGAAUGUUGGUCUGUGAUGGUGAAUGUUGGUGUGUGAUGGUGAAUGUCGGUGUGUGAUGGAGAAUGUUGGUGUGUGAUGGAGAAUGUUGGUGUUUGAUGGAGAAUGUUGGGGUUUGAUGGAAAAUGUUGGUGUGUGUGAUGGUGAAUGUGUGUGUGUGAUGGUGAAUGUUGGUGUGUGAUGGUGAAUGUUGGUGUGUGAUGGUGAAUGUUGGUGUGUGAUGGAGAAUGUUGGUGUGUGAUGGUGAAUGUUGGUGUGUGAUGGUGAAUGUUGGUGUGUGAUGGUGAAUGUUGGUGUUUGAUGGUGAAUGUUGGUGUGUGAUGAAGAAUGUUGGUGUGUGAUGGUGAAUGUUGGUGUGUGAUGGUGAAUGUUGGUGUGUGAUGGUGAAUGUUGGUGUGUGUGAUGGUGAAUGUUGGUGUGUGAUGGUGAAUGUUGGUGUGUGAUGGUGAAUGUUGGUGUUUGAUGGUGAAUGUUGGUGUGUGAUGAAGAAUGUUGGUGUGUGAUGGUGAAUGUUGGUGUGUGAUGGUGAAUGUUGGUGUGUGAUGGUGAAUGUUGGUGUGUGGUGGAGAAUGUUGGUGUGUGAUGGUGAAUGUUGGUGUGUGAUGGUGAAUGUUGGUGUGUGAUGGUGAAUGUUGGUGUGUGGUGGUGAAUGUUGGUGUUUGAUGGAGAAUGUUGGUGUGUGGUUGAGAAUGUUGGUGUUUGAUGGAGAAUGUUGGUGUGUGAUUGAGAAUGUUGGUGUUUGAUGGAGAAUGUUGGUGUGUGGUUGAGAAUGUUGGUGUCUGAUAGUGAAUGUUGGUGUGUGACUCAGAGUGCUAGGGUUGACCGUGAAUGUCAGUGUUCGAUGAAUGUUGUCAUUUGAUGCUAAAUUUUUAUCUUUAAAGGAAAUUUUUGUG